CGGCGAACUCCAGUCAGCUGACACAUCUCUGCCAAUCUCCAGCAGACCCUCCCUCCCAGACCCUCCCACCUCCUGGACAGCAUGAGCUUCAACAUGGAUGCUGUCCAGGAGGUGGGAGGGUCUAGGAGGGAGGGUCUGCCAGAGAUUGGCAGGGAUGUGUCAGCUGACCGG